CCUAGCCUUCAAAUUUCUUGCGUUUGCUCUGAUCAAGCUUUUGCGCAAACAGUUUUUUUCCAGUGUAUCGUUCAACAAAAAGUUACAGCUGUUUUGUACUGAGCUGGUUACAGGAACUAAUGCCAUUUGUAAAUAUCUCUUACAGCCGAGUUGUUUGAAGUCAUCACAGAUAUAAACUGCUUGUUGCAGCAACUCACAAUCACAUUCCUGCCCGUCAUGUCGAACAGCGGAGCGCUAAUUUCAGUUUGAGGUCUGCACUCUUACUACAAUGCAAAUGGUGACAGCAUCAGGCUGCACUCGGCUGACCCAUAAAUUUGCCCCUGCUCUGCAUUGCCCUGCAUGUUCGGGUCAGAUAUUGGUUCCUGUUGACCUGAUGGACUCCUUUGUUCUCUGCAUUCAUCAUAGGUUACAGUCGUGAAUCAUGGACGAAGACUGCACUCUUAGGCCCACUCCUUUUUGGUGGAUCGGGUCUUGCCAUCUUCACCUUUCGUGGCUUCCUGUCGUAAUUAAAUAAAUUGUCAUAUUUUUUUCUGA
rnacentral:lncRNA from 1 species